rnacentral:rRNA from 1 species
UUCCGGUUGAUCCCGCCGGACCUGACUGCUAUCGGAUUGAUACUAAGCCAUGCGAGUCAUUGUAGUAAUACAAGGCAUACGGCUCAGUAACGCGUAGUCAACCUACCCUAUGGACAAGAAUAAUCUCGGGAAACUGAGCAUAAUUCUUGAUAGAUCAUAAUGCCUGGAAUGGUUUAUGGUUAAAAUGAUUCGUCGCCAUAGGAUGGGACUGCGGCCUAUCAGCUUGUUGGUGAGGUAAUGGCCCACCAAGGCGAUUACAGGUACGGGCUCUGAGAGGAGAAGCCCGGAGAUGGGUACUGAGACAAGGACCCAGGCCCUAUGGGGCGCAGCAGGCGAGAAAACUUUGCAAUGUGCGAAAGCACGACAAGGUUAGUCCGAGUGAUUUCUGCUAAAGAGAUCUUUUGCUAGUUAUAAAACCACUAGUGAAUAAGGGGUGGGCAAGUUCUGGUGUCAGCCGCCGCGGUAAAACCAGCACCUCAAGUGGUCAGGAUGAUUAUUGGGCCUAAAGCAUCCGUAGCCGGCUCUGUAAGUUUUCGGUUAAAUCUAUGCGCUCAACGUAUGGGCUGCCGAAAAUACUGUAGAGAUAGGGAGUGGGAGAGGUAGACGGUACUCGGUAGGAAGGGGUAAAAUCCUUUGAUCUAUCGAUGACCACCUGUGGCGAAGGCGGUCUACCAGAACACGUUCGACGGUGAGGGAUGAAAGCUGGGGGAGCAAACCGGAUUAGAUACCCGGGUAGUCCCAGCUGUAAACGAUGCAGACUCGAUGAUGCAUUGGCAUAUAGCCAGUGCAGUGUCGCAGGGAAGCCGUUAAGUCUGCCGCCUGGGAAGUACGUACGCAAGUAUGAAACUUAAAGGAAUUGGCGGGGGAGCACCACAAGGGGUGAAGCCUGCGGUUCAAUUGGAUUCAACGCCGGG